rnacentral:lncRNA from 1 species
UGAUGAGAAAUAUAGUUGAAUUUACAAAUACAUAACAGACAAUUGACUUCCGACAUUGUAACAUUUCCACUGGUUUUGCUGUACUAAAUUGAGUUAGUUGGAUGGUUUACUUUAUACAAAAAAAUUACAUGUAGGUUUAUGUAUGUCUAAAAAUUAAACUUCAUUCUUAUGCUAGCUUUUGAUUAUGCUCAUUUUUAUUGGUUUUUUUUAUACGACCGCAAAAAUUGAAAAAAAUUUGGUCGUAUAUUGGUAUCACAUUGGCGUCGUCGUCGUCCGUAGUCGUCGGCGUCCGAAGACUUUUGGUUUUCGCACUAUAACUUUAGUAUAAAAAUAGAAAUCUAUGAAAUUUAACACAAGUUUAUACCAUAAAAAGGAAGGUUGGAUUGAUUUUGGAAGUUUUGGUCCCAACAGUUUGAAUUAGGGCAAAAAGGCCAAAUAAGCAUUUUCUUGGUUUUCGCACUAUAACUUUAGUUUUAAGUAAAUAGAAAUGUAUGAAAUUUUGACACAAGGUUUCUGACCACUAAAGGAAGGUUGGGAUUGAUUUUGGGAGUUUUGGUUCCAACAGUUUGGAAUUAGGGGCCAAAAAUUAAAAACAAGGUUUAUGAACACAAAAGGAAGGUUGGGAUUGAUUUUGGGAGUUGAGGUCCCAACGGUUUAAGAAUCAGGGGCCAAAAAGGAGCCCAAAUAAGCAUUUUUCUUGGUUUUCGCACCAUAACUUAAGUAUAAGUAAAUAGAAAUCUAUGAAAUUUAAACACAAGGUUUAUGACCAUAAAAGGAAGGUUGGGAUUGAUUUUGGGAGUUUUGGUCCCAACCGUUUAGGAAUAAGGGGCCCAAAGGGUCCAAAUUAAACUUUGUUUGAAUUCAUCAAAAAUAGAAUAAUUGGGGUUCUUUGAUAUGCCGAAUCUAACUGUGUUUGUAGAUUCUUAAUGUUGGGUCCCAUUUUCAAAUUGGUCUACAUUAAGGUCCAAAGGGUCCAAAAUUAAACUAAGUUGUGAUUUUAACAAAAAUUGAAUUCUUGGGGUUCUUUGAUAUGCUGAAUCUAAACAUGUAUAUAGAUUUUUAUUGAUUAUUGGCCCAGUUUUCAAGUUGGUCCAAAUUGGGGUCCAAAAUUAAACUUUGUUUGAUUUCAACAAAAAUUGAAUUCGUGGGGUUUUUGAUAUGCUGAAUCUAAACAUGUACUUAGAUUAUUUUAUUAUGGGCCCAGUUUUCAAGUUGGUCCAAAUCGUGGUCCAAAAUUAAACUUUGUUUGAUUUCAACAAAAAUUGAAUCCUUGGGGUUCUUUGAUAUGCUGAAUCUAAACAUGUAUUUAUAAUUUUUAUUAUGGGCCCAGUUUUCAAGUUGGUCCAAAUCAUGGUCCAAAAUUAAACUUUAUUUGAUAUCAGCAAAAAUUGAAUCCUUGGGGUUCUUUGAUAUGCUGAAUCUAAACCUGUUUAGAUUUUUGAUUAUAGGCCCAGUUUUCAAGUUGGUCCAAAUUGCAGUCCAAAAUUAAACUUUGUUUGAUUUCAACAAAAAUUGUAUAUAUGGGGUUCUUUGAUAUAUGCUUAAUCUAACCAUGUAUUUAGAUUUUUUGAUGUUUGGGCCCGGUUAUCAGAUUGGUCCACAUUGAGGUCUAAAGGGUCCAAAUUGAACUUUAU